AUCACUUCACUAACCCACUGUACUAGAGUGACGUUCAAGUGAAUAGCUUCACUGAUCACACUCUUUCCUACUGAUUAACACUUUCCAACACGACCAGACACUCAAGUUUCAACUUUUCCUUUGAAAACGGAUACAAGCAUUCCUUGAUUCCUCGGGUUAUAAAAGCUGCUUAUGGCGAGGGGGACACCAUAAUUAAUAGCAGGGCUCGGGUACCUGCUGCUUUGUCUUCCUCUCUACUUGACAGUUGCUACAACAACCAGGUGAAGCUGGCUCACAUACACCCCCUGAACCAAAGGGACUUGCGCUUCACCGACUAUCUGUGCCUGGCCAGUGCGGAAAGCAGUCAACUGAAGAUGUAUCUUCAGCAGGUCAAAAACUGCGACUGGAAUGUCCACCAGGAUCUCACAGAUGCUCCUCUUGAUUCCUGAAAUACAACUGACAAUGUGAGGAGAAGAUCUUCAGUCAAUGCAAUGAGAGUAGUCUCUUUGUCAUAUCCAGAUCAGUAUCCUAGUUGCCAAAUAUCAAGGAAAUAGGAGGUAUCCAGAUACUGUGAAAGUUAUCUCAUCACAAUCUUCUCCAUAAUUGAUCUGAAAAUGGAACACUGUUCAAUAAUUAGACUGAAUGUCAGGACCAAUACAUGGAUUUUGGAGCAGAGGCUAGACACAAGCUUCUCUCAGAACACCCUGUUCUUCUCAAAGAUUCCCAAGAAUGCCAGGAGGUGGAGCAAGGACAAGGUUGCUGACUGAACUUCCACAUGGAAUCCAUCACUUAGAAGCAAGUUGUCCAAGUAUGGGAAUAUGGUGUAGCCAUUUUGUCUCAUCUGUGUUGCCACCACUGAGAAGACUCUCAUGAAGACCCUUGGUGCCACAGCCAGACCAAAUGAGAGUACCUUGAACUCAUAGUGUUCCAGUCCUAUCAGAAAUGUGAGAAGUCUUCUGUGAGCUGGGUAGUGUCCACAUGAAAGUAAGGAUCUUUCAUGUCUAUAACUACAAACCAUGUAUCUUUUCUCAAGGAAGGAAUUAGUGAUGCCAAGAUAACCAUUAAUUUGAGAAUAAAAAUA